CUCAGAAACUACAAAUGAAGUUGACGGGGCCCGCACAAGCGGUGGAGUAUGUGGUUUAAUUCGAUGCAACGCGAAGAACCUUACCUGGUCUUGACAUCCCGGAGACCCUUAGGAACUAGGGGUGCUUCCAUCUGGAAGAAUCUGGAGACAGGUGCUGCAUGGCUGUCGUCAGCUCGUGUCGUGAGAUGUUGGGUUAAAUCCCGCAACGAGCGCAACCCUUGCCUUUAGUUGCCAGCAGUUCGGCUGGGCACUCUAAAGGGACUGCCGGUGUUAAACCGGAGGAAGGUGGGGAUGACGUCAAGUCCUCAUGGCCUUUAUGACCAGGGCUACACACGUACUACAAUGGCCGAUACAAAGGGCAGCGACACUGCGAGGUGAAGCCAAUCCCGUAAAAUCGGUCUCAGUCCGGAUUGGAGUCUGCAACUCGACUCCAUGAAGUUGGAAUCGCUAGUAAUCGUGGAUCAGCAUGCCACGGUGAAUACGUUCCCGGGCCUU
rnacentral:rRNA from 1 species